rnacentral:rRNA from 1 species
GACUGUUUACCAAAAACAUAGCCCUUAUAAAUAUUGAAGGUGAAACCUGCCCAAUGGUUUAUGAUUAAAAUUUUAAUAUAAUUAAAAAUAAACUUAAAGGACGCGGUAUCUUGACCGUGAUAAUGUAGCAUAAUCAUUCGCCACUUAAUUAGUGGAUAGUAUGAAUGGUGAAACGAAUAUAACACUGUCUCAAAUAAAAACCUUAUAAAAUUGAAAUAAUAGUUAAGAUACUAUUUAAAACUGUAAGACGAGAAGACCCUAUAGAGCUUAACUACAACUUUUAUAAUUAAAAGCUUGGUAGUUUAGUUGGGGCGACUACCUUCUAAAAUAAACGAAGGUAAACAAAAUUAAUAAAAAUAAUUUAUUGUAUAACCAAUAAGUUUAACAAUUACUAUAGUAGGUUAUAAUGACCCGUUAUAUAUUCAUAGAAAAUAUAGCGAUUAAUAAAUAAAAGCUACCUUAGGGAUAACAGGAUAAUCCUGUUCUAGAGAUCUUAUCGAAUACAGGGUUUGUCACCUCUAUGUUGAAUUGAGAUAUCCUAAAAAUGCAGCAGUUUUUAAGGGUGGGUCUGUUCGACCCAUAAAAUCUUACAUGAUUUGAGUUCAUUCCGUA